rnacentral:rRNA from 1 species
GUGAUAUGAACCGUUAUAACCGGCGAUACCCGAAUGGGGAAACCCAGUGUGACUCGUCACACUAUCAUUAACUGAAUCCAUAGGUUAAUGAGGCGAACCGGGGGAACUGAAACAUCUAAGUACCCCGAGGAAAAGAAAUCAACCGAGAUUCCCCCAGUAGCGGCGAGCGAACGGGGAGGAGCCCAGAGCCUGAAUCAGCAUGUGUGUUAGUGGAAGCGUCUGGAAAGGCGCGCGAUACAGGGUGACAGCCCCGUACACAAAAGCGCAUGUGCUGUGAGCUCGAUGAGUAGGGCGGGACACGUGGUAUCCUGUCUGAAUAUGGGGGGACCAUCCUCCAAGGCUAAAUACUCCUGACUGACCGAUAGUGAACCAGUACCGUGAGGGAAAGGCGAAAAGAACCCCGGCGAGGGGAGUGAAAAAGAACCUGAAACCGUGU